rnacentral:sRNA from 3 species
GAUAAAAAGAGACCGAACACGAUUCCUGUAUUCGGUCCAGGGAAAUGGCUCUUGGGAGAGAGCCGUGCGCUAAAAGUUGGCAUUAAUGCAGGCUUAGUUGCCUUGCCCUUUAAGAAUAGAUGACGACGCCAGGUUUUCCAGUU